CAAGAGCCCUGCUUCGGAUACUUACAUAGUUUUUGGGGAAGCCAAGAUCGAAGAUUUAUCCCAGCAAGCACAACUAGCAGCUGCUGAGAAAUUCAAAGUUCAAGGUGAAGCUGUCUCAAACAUUCAAGAAAACACACAGACUCCAACUGUACAAGAGGAGAGUGAAGAGGAAGAGGUCGAUGAAACAGGUGUAGAAGUUAAGGACAUAGAAUUGGUCAUGUCACAAGCAAAUGUGUCGAGAGCAAAGGCAGUCCGAGCCCUGAAGAACAACAGUAAUGAUAUUGUAAAUGCGAUUAUGGUAAGUGUUCAAGCCUUUGUUCCUUGACUCCCUCUGCCCUGACCAGUUAUGAGUGACUUAUUUUCUCUUGCUAAAUAUCAGCCAAUUAGGGAACCUCAUUCCAGAGCCUCUUCUGAGUUGCCGUAUAGGUUUUAGUGGCCUAAGUUCUCCUGAUUUGCCUGUAAGAGUUUUAGUGACCUGAAUUCUCCUGAUUUGCCUAUAAGAACUGCUAAUUAUCUUUUCUCUAUUACAGGAAUUAACAAUGUAACCAUCUGAAAGGAACUUUUUUUGGUGUCUCAAAGGAGUAACUGCAGCUUGGUUUGAAAUUUGUACUGUUUCUAUCAUAAAUAAAGUUAUGGCUUCUUG
rnacentral:sRNA from 1 species